UAUAAAAACCCUGGGCAGAGCAGUCAGGGAGUGGUAGCUGAAGGGGAAGGAGUAUUUCUCGCAGCUCUCUAGAGAGGCUUGGUGAGUGGUCCAAAGGCAGGAAGAGUGGAACUAUGGAAACCCCGGAGAGAUGGUAGCCGCAGCACAGCAAGGGCUGUAGCCGACAGUGGGGAGCCAAAGCAUGAACCUUGCGAAUCAGAUUUAGGUGCUUAACCUAUACUGGAAAAAAAACUUUCUGGCCUUUACAAGUCAAGCAGAGAGCUCGUGACACAGAACGAUAAAGUUGGAAGGGACCUGGAAAACCAUCUAGUCCAAACCUGGCAUAGAUCAAGGUUCACUGUUCCUAAACCAGCCCAGACAGAUAAACACCCAGCCUCUUUCUGAAAACCUCCAGUUUGAAAGAGAUCCCACAACUAGGCAAAUUGUUCUAAGUUAUGGAACCUGAUCUGCAGCUAAAGCCCCGACCUUACUACAAAACAAGUAUCAUCAAUCAUACUACUACCACCCUUGCUGUUGGAAAUGUCAAGCCAAAUCUUGCCUUCACGUAAGGAAUUCCACUGCUUUUCAGCAUGGCUAUUUGAAUUUACCUCCUUAUUUGCCAUUAACAACUUUAAACAGACCACAUUCAUUCUGGACUCUUUUUAUACUGCGCUGGACAACAAAUCAAGAUCUAAAUAUUGUAUUUUUAUUAAACAUGAGAGAGAGAAAGAGAGAAAGAGUGAGCUUUCUUGAGUCUGAUAAAUAAUUUAGGCCUAAUUCUCCGCUGUCUUUUAUGCUAUCCAAAAGAAAGUGCUUUCACAUUCAUUUUAUUCUCCUUUUGGACUGGUGAUAGUGACUGACACAGUACAGCGCAACAGAAAAUGGGGCCCACUUUGCACUAGGGUAAAUGAUAACAUAGGCUCUUCCAGACAGGAGCUGUCUUUUUUGUUUUAAGGCUGUACAGAACCUAGAAUAAUUAAAUACCAAUACAUCACAGUGCCUCCUAGUACACCACAUUAUCAUUAUCACUGUUGUAAAUAAUGAUGAUGAUGAUGAUAAUUACUUCCAGUGGAGAAUCAAGGUCUCAAAAGUUACUACAUGAAAACCGUAUUUAAUGUAUGAAUUAAACAUCUCUGGAACACAGAAUGAUUACGCAAAAUAUGUUUUCCAAAAACCUAUAGAAUUAGAGCAAUAAAUGAUUUUAAAAAU